GUGGGGAAUAUUGGACAAUGGGCGAAAGCCUGAUCCAGCCAUGCCGCGUGUGUGAAGAAGGUCUUCGGAUUGUAAAGCACUUUAAGUUGGGAGGAAGGGCAGUAAGUUAAUACCUUGCUGUUUUGACGUUACCGACAGAAUAAGCACCGGCUAACUUCGUGCCAGCAGCCGCGGUAAUACGAAGGGUGCAAGGGUUAAUCGGAAUUACUGGGCGUAAAGCGAGCGUAGGUGGUUUUGUAAGUUGGAGGUGAAAUCCCCGGGCUCAACCUGGGAACUGCCUCCAAAACUGCAUGACUAGAGUACGGUAGAGGGUAGUUGAAUUUCCUGUGUAGCGGUGAAAUGCGUAGAUAUAGGAAGGAACACCAGUGGCGAAGGCGACUACCUGGACUGAUACUGACACUGAGGUGCGAAAGCGUGGGGAGCAAACAGGAUUAGAUACCCUUGUAGUCC
rnacentral:rRNA from 1 species